CUUUAACGGCCGCAGUACACUGACUGUGCUAAGGUAGCAUAAUAAUUUGUCUUUUAAUUGAAGACUGGUAUGAAAGGCAUCAUGGAAAUAAGCUGUCUUAUGUAAAAUUUUUAAAAUUUUCUUAGGUGGUGAAAAUUCCAUCAUUAUAAAAAUAGGACGAGAAGACCCUUAGAAUUAUCAUAAUGCUUCUUUGAAGGAAGGUAAAUUUUUGUUGGGGCAACAUUAUCAGAGAUUAUUGAACUGAUUUUUAUAAUACUUUACUAGAUUAUAAUUUUAAAUAGGAAUUUAAUUACCUAAGGGAUAACAGCAUAAUUUGUAAAUGAGAGUAUGACCUCGAUGUUGGACUAGGGACUUUUUGCACUAGACGUGGAAAAAGAUUGUUCUGUUCGAACAUUAUUACCCUACGUGAUCUGAG
rnacentral:rRNA from 1 species